AAAAAAACAAAUCUUAAGUUUCAGUGUACAAUGUUUAACCGUUCAUCUUAUUUAAAAAAAAUAUAAAAAACAUUAUAAAGAUAGUCCCGCAUAAAGUAUUAAUUAUAUUUUAUCAUCUAACAAUAAUAAAAAUACUAAUUAUAAAAAAAUUUAUAUAAGACAAACAGUCAAAUGUUGGACACGGAAAUUCAGGGUUUGUCUUUUU
rfam:Oryza glaberrima chromosome 11 Oglab11_0060_2, whole genome shotgun sequence.